AGAGUUUGAUCAUGGCUCAGGACGAACGCUGGCGGCGUGCUAAUACAUGCAAGUCGAGCGGAUCUCUGGGAGCUUGCUCCCUGAGAUCAGCGGCGGACGGGUGAGUAACACGUGGGCAACCUGCCUGUAAGACUGGGAUAACACCGGGAAACCGGUGCUAAUACCGGAUAAUUCUUUCCCUCUCAUGAGGGAAAGCUGAAAGUCGGUUUCGGCUGACACUUACAGAUGGGCCCGCGGCGCAUUAGCUAGUUGGUGAGGUAACGGCUCACCAAGGCGACGAUGCGUAGCCGACCUGAGAGGGUGAUCGGCCACACUGGGACUGAGACACGGCCCAGACUCCUACGGGAGGCAGCAGUAGGGAAUCUUCCGCAAUGGACGAAAGUCUGACGGAGCAACGCCGCGUGAGUGAUGAAGGCCUUCGGGUCGUAAAACUCUGUUGUUAGGGAAGAACAAGUACCGGAGUAACUGCCGGUACCUUGACGGUACCUAACCAGAAAGCCACGGCUAACUACGUGCCAGCAGCCGCGGUAAUACGUAGGUGGCAAGCGUUGUCCGGAAUUAUUGGGCGUAAAGCGCGCGCAGGCGGUCCUUUAAGUCUGAUGUGAAAGCCCACGGCUCAACCGUGGAGGGUCAUUGGAAACUGGGGGACUUGAGUGCAGAAGAGGAAAGCGGAAUUCCACGUGUAGCGGUGAAAUGCGUAGAGAUGUGGAGGAACACCAGUGGCGAAGGCGGCUUUCUGGUCUGUAACUGACGCUGAGGCGCGAAAGCGUGGGGAGCAAACAGGAUUAGAUACCCUGGUAGUCCACGCCGUAAACGAUGAGUGCUAAGUGUUAGAGGGUUUCCGCCCUUUAGUGCUGCAGCUAACGCAUUAAGCACUCCGCCUGGGGAGUACGGCCGCAAGGCUGAAACUCAAAGGAAUUGACGG
rnacentral:rRNA from 1 species